rnacentral:rRNA from 2 species
GUUGAUAGGUCUGAGGUGGAAGCGUGGUGACACGUGGAGCUGACAGAUACUAAUAGAUCGAGGACUUAACCUAU